rnacentral:tRNA from 1 species
AGCCCGGUAGUCUAGCGGCCAAGGAUCCCGGGCUUUGGCCCCGGGGACCUGGGUUCGAAUCCCAGCCGGGCUACCA